rnacentral:ncRNA from 1 species
UAUAUUAUGAGUUUGAUGGUGGCUCCGAUUGAACGUUAUCUUGAGGUUUAAUACAUGCAAAUUUAACACCGGUUUCUAUUAUAUCAAAAAUAAUAGGGAUGAGAAACGGUAGUAGUGUACAAAUGAGUAAUGGUUAGUUUAUCUGAUUUUGAAUUUAAGGCUAGUUAAAUACUAGAUAAAUAGAAGAGAAUCUUCUUCUUCUUCUAUUAAAGAAUCGAUUAAUGAUUUCUUUAAAUCUAAGAACUAAUCUCGGUAGGUAUUUGAAAUUAUAGUAUUUAUUAAUUUAGAUACUUCAAGCCAAUGAUCCGUAGUCAUAUUUGAAAGAAUGAUUGACCAUGUUGGUUCUGAAAUAACAACCAAUAUAAUCCUUUAGAGGUUAUACUGCAGUAGAGAAUAUUGCUCAAUGAUCGAAAGAUUGAAGCAGCUAUCAAGAAGGAUGAAUAUAGUAUUUAUAUUAAAAUCCCUUUCUUAAUGAGAAUAAAUGAUGUUAGUUAAGAAAGUAGUACCGACCAAGAUUCGUGCCAGCAGUUGCGGUAAUACGAAGGGUACAAACGUUAAUCAUAUUUACUAGGUUUAAAGGAUACGUAGACUGUUUCUUAAAGAAACUAGAGUUAAAUAGAUGGUUCUGUAACUAAUGAAGUACCGAUAAAAUGGGUUGAGAUUAUUAGGAACGUUAAAGGCGAAAGCAAGAAUCAAGGUAAUGACUGACGUUGAGGUAUGAAGGCUAUGGAAGUGAAAAGGAUUAGAUACCCUUGUAAUCUUAGCUGUAAACGAUAUUGAUUAGUAAUUAGAUGUCUUAUUGGGAUAACCUAGAUAAUAAGACACGUUAGUUAUUGUGAAGAAAUUCUUAAAUCAAUCACCUGAAUAGUAUAGUCGCAAGGCUGAAACUUAAACCAUUUGAGAGUUGUUAUUAGCAGAGUGAAGUUUGAUGUUUAAUUCGAUGAUCCACGUAUAAUCUUACCAUAUCUUGUAUAUUCAUAUAAUAUGAUUACAGGUAUUGCAUGGUUGUCUUCAGUUCAUUCCGUGAGGAUAGGUUUAUUCCACCAAUGAACGUAACUCUACUCCUUAUUUAUAUAAUUAAGGAUGGUCCAUUAAGAAAAUGGAUUUAUUAGAAUUAAGACAAAUCAUUAUGGUCCUUAUGAUAUGGGCUACAAUCGCGCCACAAUGAUAUUUACAAUAUUAAGCAAUCUUCUAUAAAGGAAAGCAAAAAGAAAAGAUAUCAAGUUCGGAUUAUCCUCUGGAAUUCGGGGAUAUGAAGUAGGAAUUCUGAGUAAUCGGGGCUAGUAUGCCCCGGUGAACUUUAUAUUUAACAGUCUACAAAUUACUCGUCAAGUGGAAGGAUACCUUGAUUGAUCAAAUUAGUAUUUGAAUUUAUCUAUUUUUUUAAGAAAAUUAUAGUAUACUUUCUUGCUAAUCUAAUCAUCUAAGGUUGACCUCUAUUAAGUCGAAAUAUAGUAACGCUGAGGGAACUUAGUGUUGAUUGAUUUGUUAC